CCGAAACUGAGAAGUUCCAUUUGAACUUGCUAUUAGAAGGAUGAAGAUUGAAAUCUGCAUUGGUGGUGGCAGUAUAGCAGACACUCUUUCUCAUGCUAUUCAUUUGGUGAUUGUGUCUAUUCCAGAACUUGGUUACGACUUUGAUACACUUUUGAAUAGGUGAGCUAUCCCAUGAAAAGCAACUUUAUUUUAACGGUUUCUGGUAAAAUAUAAUCUGGCUGCAGAAAUGAAGUAUAUCACACUUUUGGAAACGAGUGGUGCUGGAAAAUCGACGCUGCUGCUGUGAGGGGGCAAUCCGGAUCUGAAGUGAAGGCUUCAGAAUCGCAGAAAAGCUGGCGGCUACAAUGGCUUGGAGGGUCGCUGCUCCUAAUGGUAGCAUUCCCUCUAAUGACAUGGAGAGAAAUGGGGAAGGUAGACCUCAUGACUCAGAACCUCCUACCCCCCAUGCACUCAUGAAAAUGGGUUCAAGGUUGACAGCAUACUUGGCGCCCGUGGCGAUGCUUUUGAGCAUGAGGCAACUAGAAGAAUGCGUAAUGAAUUUAUGGUAGCUUGGGAUGGCUUGAGGUCAAAAGACAACCGGAGAAUCAUAGCAGGUUGAUUAACUAGUUCUUGAGGACUUGGUGCUAGAAACAUUGUAUGAUAGAUUUUUGUUUUAGCUAUAAGGUAGUUGGUAUUUUCAAUUUUGAAUCGGAAUAUGCAAUGAUGAUGUAUACUUGAUAUUUGGUUCAUUUGUAUAAUAAUGUAUGAAUAUUUUGGAUGAUAUAUAAUAUUGUUAUUGUUGAUUUUA